UACGUAGGUGGCAAGCGUUGUCCGGAAUUAUUGGGCGUAAAGCGCGCGCAGGCGGUCCUUUAAAUCUGAUGUGAAAGCCCACGGCUCAACCGUGGAGGGUCAUUGGAAACUGGGGGACUUGAGUGCAGGAGAGAAGAGUGGAAUUCCACGUGUAGCGGUGAAAUGCGUAGAGAUGUGGAGGAACACCAGUGGCGAAGGCGACUCUUUGGCCUGUAACUGACGCUGAGGCGCGAAAGCGUGGGGAGCAAACAGG
rnacentral:rRNA from 1 species